AGUUUGAUCCUGGCUCAGGAUGAACGCUAGCGGCAGGCUUAACACAUGCAAGUCGAGGGGUAAGGUUCACUUCGGUGGAUACACGACCGGCGAAUGGGUGAGUAACACGUAUGCAACUUACCUUUAACUGGAGGAUAGCUCCGGGAAACCGGAAUUAAUACUCCAUAGUAUUCUGAAAAUGCAUGUUUUCAGAAUUAAAGCUCCGGCGGUUAAAGAUAGGCAUGCGGGGCAUUAGUUAGUUGGUAGGGUAACGGCCUACCAAGACUGCGAUGCCUAGGGGGUCUGAGAGGACGAUCCCCCACACUGGCACUGAGACACGGGCCAGACUCCUACGGGAGGCAGCAGUGAGGAAUAUUGGGCAAUGGGCGAAAGCUUGACCCAGCCAUGCCGCGUGCAGGAUGACUGUCCUAUGGAUCGUAAACUGCUUUUCUACGGGAAGAAUCCCCCCGAUUCUUCGGGGGUUGACGGUACCGUAUGAAUAAGGGUCGGCUAACUCCGUGCCAGCAGCCGCGGUAAUACGGAGGACCCAAGUGUUAUCCGGAUUUACUGGGUUUAAAGGGUGCGCAGGCGGAAUAAUAAGUCGAUGGUGAAAGGCUACAGCUUAACUGUAGAAUUGCCAUUGAUACUGUUAUUCUUGAGCGCAGUCGAAGCGAGCGGAAUGUGUAGUGUAGCGGUGAAAUGCAUAGAUAUUACACAGAACACCGAUAGCGUAAGCAGCUCGCCAGGCUGUUACUGACGCUGAGGCACGAAAGCGUGGGUAUCGAACAGGAUUAGAUACCCUGGUAGUCCACGCUGUAAACGAUGAUCACUAGUUGUUGGCGAUAUACUGUCAGUGACUGAGCGAAAGCGUUA
rnacentral:rRNA from 1 species